GAAGAAGAAAGGGGGAUGGAGGAAGGAAAGAAGGAAGGGAGGAGAGAAGGAGGGAGGGAGGAAGAACAGAUGGAAGGAAGGAAGGAUGGAGGAAGGAAGGAAGGACAGAGGAAAUAAGGAACGAGGGAGGGAGAAAGGAAAAGAGGAAGGGAAGAAAGAAGGUAGGGAGGAAGGAAAGGAAGGAAGGAAGGACGGA